CAGCCGCCACGGGAACACGGAGGGAGCUAGCGUUGUUCGGAAUUACUGGGCGUAAAACGCACGUAGGCGGUUAUUCAAGUCAGAGGUGAAAGCCCGGGGCUCAACCCCGGAACUGCCUUUGAAACUAGAUGACUAGAAUCUUGGAGAGGUCAGUGGAAUUCCGAGUGUAGAGGUGAAAUUCGUAGAUAUUCGGAAGAACACCAGUGGCGAAGGCGACUGACUGGACAAGUAUUGACGCUGAGGUGCGAAAGCGUGGGGAGCGAACAGGAUUAGAUACCCGCGUAGUCCCUGUCUCUUAUAC
rnacentral:rRNA from 1 species